AGCUUGUUUCUCACACAAUUAUAUCAUGAGAAAAAGUCUCAGUUAAGUUAUAUAAAAUAUCCUGAAUUUAUCAUUUAACACACUUUUAUCUGGCCCAAGUGUUGGCCCAGUCCAAGUUAAUCUAUGUUCCAUGGAACAUAAUGGUUCAGUUCCAGACCUACCUAAAGUUUUGUCUGAACGUUUGAUCCUCUCUACAAGCUCAGAGAGAUUCAAAUCUUGGUUCAGCCUAGAACUGAUCUAUACUUUCCAGAAAUCCUCCAGUGAGAAUUUACCUGAGACAAAUUAAAAUCAGACCAGUCACCAAGGUUUAGAUCAGGAAUCAGAAUUUUUUAUUUUGAUGGAUUCUACCUUCACUUAAAAUAAGUUAAAAAAUUUUUUUGUAAGUAGAUGCAAGAUGCAGCAGACAAUAAUACCCACACACUACUUCAUUUUUCUCCCACACCCUGCCUAGCUGAUAGCAGUUGGUUGGAGCCAUGUGACUAGCUCUGGUCAGUGUCCUAAGAGGGGAAUUGAUGUGUGUCACUUCUAGGCUGAGGCAGAAAAAAGUUGAUGCCUGAUUCUCUACAUUUUCUACUCUACAUUCUCUACUCUGCCUUGAAUGGCCUCAUAAGUCCCUAAGUGACUAUGUAAAGCAAAACCCACAGUCGACCUGCCUGGAACAGUGUCAUACUUCUGGAAAACGUUUAUCAGUCCGCUUGCAUCUAGGAUGAGCUUCGUGACUAGUUCUCACCAAUGGAAAGUAGGCAGAAAUGAUGGACCUACCUCCAGGCCUAGCCCAUAAAAUACUGGACUUAGUUUCUCCCUCACUCUUUCAGUCCCUUCAAUUGGAUGCAGAGGAAUCAGUGGAGGAUUUCAAGGCCCGAGAAGAUACUAGAGCCACAAGAUAGGAAAUGCUUGGAGCCUGAAUCGCCUGAAUGACUGUGUAAACAUCCACCGACCUGAUUCCAAACAAUUCAUGUUGGACUGUGACACGAAUAAGAAAUUAUUGUGUUCAGCCAUUGAAUUUGGAUUCUUAAUCACACUCAAAGCCUUAUAUUCACCCAUCCAAGGGCUGGGAUAAAAAACACUUACACAGCUUGGCCCACCCAAAUGGUAAGGGCCUAAAGCAGCAGGUACUCUUGUAGUGCUGACCACGGGGCUUCUCUGUUUCCCACCAUUUCCUCCGUGACACAGACCUAACCUGGGACUUGGCCAGUGCUGUCCAUGAGGGAACUAAGGAGUUGCAGUUCCUUAUGCACAUGAGGCUCCCUGUUCUAGUUCUAGUGAUGGGUGCUGCUACCUAGCCUGAGUUCCGGUGCUUUUUGUAAAGCUUAGUCCUGCUUUUAGAGUUUUUAGUUUUAUAUUCCAGGAAUAGACCUUGCUUUGCUUUUGCUGCGUCCUGCAUCAGAGCUAUAAACCCUCCUCCAGAGGCCAUUCCACACUGAUUAACCAUGGUAAGCAGGAAAAGCCAGUUUUCUGCCUGUUUGGGAUCUCGUGUCUUAUCUACCUUCUUUACACCCUGCCUUCCCCAGUCAUGCUGGGAAACCGUAUUAUACCCUGGUGCCCUAGUUGGCAGACCAAGUAUUUAGUUCAACUAUGUCCAUUUUUCCUGUGUUUCACUGAGGCCCCUUUGAGCUUUGGGGUGUCAGAGCCUUUACUUUCAGUUGGGCCCAUGCCUACCUUUCACCCCCUGAUAUGGCUGGGUCUGGAGCCAGGUGUCCUCUUGACCUUUCUCUCCAGCCUAAAGUAAGGAGCAGGGCCUCACAGAGAAGUUCUGAGACAGCGCAGUUCAGAGGUCAUCAAGGUAUUUUGCUUUUCUAUUGACAUUUAAAAUUUUAGUGAUGCUUUUUGUGACAAACGUGUUUUAAUUGUAGAGUAUCACAAAUACAUUAAUGGUUUGUAUUCAUGCCUUGUAUUUCUAGAAGAUAUAAAUACACUGCAUUUUAGUGCA